GUAGUCCUAGCUGUAAACGAUGGGCACUGGGUAGAGGAGGCAUCGAUACCUUCUUUGCCGAAGCUAAUGUGUUAAGUGCCCCGCCUGGGGAGUACGGUCGCAAGGCUAAAACUCAAAGGAAUUGACGGGGGCUCACACAAGCGGUGGAGCAUGUGGUUCAAUUCGAAGCAACGCGAAGAACCUUACCCGGGUUUGAAAUCCACGGAUGGGUCCGGUGAAAGCUGGAUACCCUACCCGCAAGGGUGAAACGUGGACAGGUGUUGCAUGGCUGUCGUCAGCUCGUGUCGUGAGAUGUCGGGUUAAGUCCCUCAACGAGCGAAACCCUUGUCUCUAGUUGCCAACGGUUCGGCCGGGGACUCUAGAGAGACUGCCGUUGUGAAAACGGA
rnacentral:rRNA from 1 species